rnacentral:rRNA from 1 species
ACGUCAAAUCAUCAUGCCCCUUACGUCUAGGGCUACAGGCGUGCUACAAUGGCCGAUAUAAUGAGUUCCGAUACCGUAAGGUGGAGGCAAUCUCCAAAGUCGGUCCCAGUUCGGAUUGUGGUCUGCAACUCGACCACAUGAAGUUGGAAUCGCUAGUAAUCCCGAAUCAGAAUGUCGGGGUGAAUACGUUCCCGGGUGUU